UAUUAAAUAUCUUAAGUGUAAAGAAUUGAAUUUUUAAUUCAAAUAUAAUAUAAAAUAUUUUUAAUAG
rnacentral:tRNA from 1 species